GACGAACGCUGGCGGCGUGCUUAAUACAUGCAAGUCGAACGGAAAGGCCCUGCUUGCAGUGUACUCGAGUGGCGAACGGGUGAGUAACACGUGGGUGGUCUGCCCUGCACUUCGGGUUAAGCCUGUGCAACUGGGUCUAAUACCUGCUAGGUGCCAUUUUUAGCGUGAUGGUUGGAUAGUUUUUUCGGUGUAGGAUGAGCUCGCGGACUAUCAGCUUGAUGCUGGGGUAAUGGCCUACCAAGGCGGCGACGGGUAGCAGGCCUGCGAGGGUGGACGGACAGAUUAGAACUGAGCGACAGCCAAGAGUACUGAAGGAGGCAGCAGUGGGGAAUAUUGCACAAUGGGCGGAAGCCUGAGGCAGCGACGCCGCGGGGGGGAAGACCGCCUUCAGGUGGUAAACACCUUUGGCUAAGGACGAAGCUUUGUGUGGAGGUAACUAGAGAAGAAGCCCAGGCUAACUAAGUG
rnacentral:rRNA from 1 species